rnacentral:rRNA from 1 species
GACGAACGCUGGCGGCGUGCUUAACACAUGCAAGUCGAGCGGUAAGGCCCUUUCGGGGGUACGACGAGCGGCGAACGGGUGAGUAACACGUGGGUGACCUGCCCUCAGCUCUGGGAUAAGCCUGGGAAACUGGGUCUAAUACUGGAUAUGACUCCACGGUGCAUGUCGUGGGGUGGAAAGCCUUGUGCGGCUGAGGAUGGGCCCGCGGCCUAUCAGCUUGUUGGUGGGGUGANGGCCUACCAAGGCGACGACGGGUAGCCGGCCUGAGAGGGCGACCGGCCACACUGGGACUGAGACACGGCCCAGACUCCUACGGGAGGCAGCAGUGGGGAAUCUUGCGCAAUGGGCGAAAGCCUGACGCAGCGACGCCGCGUGAGGGAUGACGGCU